AUCUACGGCCAUACCACCCUGAAUGAGCCUGAUCUCUCAUCUCAUCUCAGAAGCUAACCAGGGUCGGGCCUGGUUAGUACUUUGAUGGGAGAAUAUAGGGAGCAAUGGCCA
rnacentral:rRNA from 1 species